CUGAUCAAAUAAAUAAUUUUUCAUCAACAUAAAGUUUAAGCUCUACAUCUUCUUCUUUCUCUGUUUCUUUCAACUUCAAAUAAAACAACAAAUUGGUAUCAAAACUCUCUUCUUAAGGGAUCUGUGAUUACGAUGGAGAGUGAAACCUGCUAUUUCAACUUUGCUCCUCUAGUGUUUGAUGGUGAGAAUUAUCAACUCUGGGUCGUGAGAAUGAUGGCUUACCUUGAGGCUUUGGAUCUUUGGGAGGCCGUGGAAGAAGAUUACGAAGUCGCUCCGCUGCCAAACAAUCCUACCGUGGCCCAAAUGAAAAAUCACAAGGAAAAGAAGACCAGAAAAUUCAAGGCAAAUGCAACUUUCUUUGCGGCUGUUUCAGCAAAUAUCUUCACAAGGAUCAUAUCUCUUAAAUCUGCAAAAAAAUUUGGGAUUAUCUCAAAGAAGAAUACGAAGAAGAUGAAAGGAUUCGAGGCAUGCAAGUGCUGAAUUUAUUGAGGAAAUUUGAACUGCAGAGAAUUAAAGAUUUUGAGUCAAUCAAAGGAUACUCAGACAGAUUAUUGGGCAUUGUAAACAAGGUAAGGUUGCUUGGCACUCAAUUUCUAGAUUCAAGAAUUAUUCAAAAAAUUCUUGUAACUAUGUCAGAAAGAUAUGAAGCUACCAUUACCUCCUUGGAAAAUACAAAGGAAUUGUCCAAUAUCACUUUGGCAGAGCUGCUAAAUGCCUUGCAAGCUCAAGAUCAGAGGUGGCUAAUGAGGCAAGAAAAUGUUGUCGAAGGAGUUCUGCCAGCCAACACCUAGUGGCUAAAAAAACUAAAUAGAAAAGUGACAAAAAAACAUAAGUGACAUCUUCUAAAGGUUCCAGAAUCGCAGCAAUGGUAGAAAUUCGAAAAAGAACUACCCACCUUGUCAGCACUGCGGUAAAAUAGGUCAUCCACCUUUCAAAUGUUGGAGAAGGACAGAUACCAAAUGUAGCAAAUGUGGUCAGGAUGGACAUGAAGCUGUGGUUUACAAUAAUAAAUUCCAGAACCAAAAUAAAGUUGCUCAAGUUGCUGAUGAAGAAAAAGAUAGGAUGUUUGUGGCGACAUGUUUUUCAACCAAAAGUUCUUCAGAAGAUUGGCUUAUUGACAGUGGUUGUACAACCCACAUGACUUUUGAUAAAACUCUCUUCAAAGAUUUAAGGCCCUCAAAAAUCAAGAAGAUCAGAAUAGGCAACGGAGGCUAUCUACCUGCAAAAGGGAUUGGAACUGUUGCAAUUACAACCAGCUCAGAUAGCUUAUUUUACCAAAGCCAGCAACACAGAAAUUUGAUAUAAGAGGCUUAGCCAUUGUCAUCUUCAAAAGAUGUUAAGAUUGCAGAAAAGUGACUUAACAAGGGGACUACUGGAGCUUGACAAUUAUUUGCUAGACUGUACUGCCUGUCAAUUUGGUAAACAUAAUAGUUCGUCAUUUUCAAAAUCAACUUGGAAAGCUUUCAAAAAAUUACAGUUUAUUCAUACGGAUAUUUCUAGACCUCAAAAAAACGUCAUCAUUACAAGUUAGUCUUUACUACAUUCUUUUCAUUGAUGAUUUCACAAGAAUGUGCUGGAUUUUUUUCUUGAAAUUCAAAUCAGAAGUUGCUGGUGUAUUUUUGAAGUUCAAGAAAAUGGUAGAAAAUCAAAGUGGCUGUAAGAUUCAAGCGUUGAGGUCAGAUAAUGGAAAGGAAUAUACUUCAGCAGAGUUUAAUUUAUUUUGCGAAGAAGCUGGCAUUGAACAUCAGCUUACUGUCCCAUAUACUCCAGAAUAGAAUGGAGUUAGCGAAAGAAGGAACAGAUCGGUAAUGGAGAUGGCCAGAUGUAUGUUGCAUGAGAAAGAGUUACCAAAAAAGUUUUGGGCAGAGGCAGCCAAUACAGCAGUAUUUUUGCAAAAUCGACUUCCGACCAAAGCUUUGGAAGAUAAAACUCCGUUUGAAACUUGGUAUGGGUAUAAGCCUUCGCUAAAUUUUCUUAAAGUAUUUAACUGUGUAUGUUUUGUUCACGUGCCACAGGUAAAACGUGACAAGCUUGACCAAAAAGUAAUUUCAGGCAUCUUUGUGGGUUAUAGUUCAAUUUCUAAAGCUUACAAGGUGUAUCAUCAUCAAAUAGCAAAAAUGACAAUCAGUAGAGAUGCGCACACUUUAAUGAGGAUGAACAAUGGGAUUGAAAAAAUUUGCAGAAGAAAAAUAGUUAUUCAAAAGAACUAGGAAGUAUUGUUACUAAAGAGAACCUAGCAGAUUCAUGGCAAGAAGAGCUGGAAGAUGAUUUCCAGUUAGAGGUACAAGGUCAAUUUCAGACAUCGAUGCAAGAUAUAAUGUGGUAAUUUGUGAACUUGGUGAUCCUGAAGAAGCAUUACAGGAUUCAAAGUGGAAGAAAGCAAUGGAGGAGGAGCUGUUUAUGAUUUCAAAAAAUAAAACAUGGGAGUUGGUUAAGAGACCUGAAGGAAGAAAGGUCAUUGGCAUCAAAUGGGUGUUCAGAACAAAGCUGAAUGCAGACAGCUCUAUCAACAAACAUAAGGUCAGACUUGUCGUUAAAGGGUAUGCUCGAAUAUACGGUGUUGAUUAUUCUGACACCUUUGCUCCUAUGGCAAGGCUAGAUAAUAAGGUUGCUGCUUGCAUUAUUAGCACAAAUGGGAUGGAAAGUAUUUCAGCUGGAUGUCAAAUCAACCUUUUUAAAUGGCUUCUUGCAGGAUGAGAUAUAUGUAGAGCAGCCUGAAGGAUUUGUGAAGCAAGGUGAAGAAGACAAGGUCUACUUGCUCAAAAAGGCUCUUUAUGGUUUGAAACAAGCACCAAGAGCUUGGUAUAGCAGGAUAGAUGCGCACUUGAUAAGUCUUGGUUUUGUUAAAAGCUUAUCUGAGGCCACUCUUUAUGUGAAACAUAAAAAUAAUGACACACUCAUUGUGUCCCUAUAUGUUGAUGAUCUUCUGGUGACAGGAAAUAAUACAAAGCUGGUUAAAGAGUUCAAAAAAGAAAUGAUGAAAGGUUUUGAAACGACAGAUCUUGGUCUCAUGACCUAUUUUCUCGGAAUGGAGAUCAGACAAGAAGAAAAUGAAGUGUUCAUUGGUAAAAAAAAAAUAUACAAAGGAAAUCUUAAAGAAGUUUAAGAUGGAAGAAUGCAAGGCAGUAAGCACACCAAUGAAUCAAAAGGAGAAACUAAGCAAGGAAGAUGGAGCUGAUAAAGUUGAGGAAGGUUAUUACAGGAGUUUGAUUGGAUGUUUUAUGUACGUCACUGCAACAAGGCUUGACAUUCUAUUUACUGUAAGUCUCUUAUCUCGAUUUAUGCAUUGCUCUAGUGAAAUGCAUUUAAUUGCAGCAAAAAUAAUAUUAAGGUAUGUCAAAGGUACUGUUGAUCAUGGAGUUCAGUUUAAAAGAUAUAAAAAUUUCAAGUUGUGUGAUUUUUCGGAUAGUGAUUGGAUUGGAUCAGUUGAUGAUAUGAAAAGCACUUCAGGA